rnacentral:lncRNA from 1 species
GGGGCUGCCCAGAACCCACGGUGCUUUGUGACCCGUGGCUCCCAGGAGAGCCUUUGUGAUGCUGGGCAACUACACGGAACCCUGGCUCCAGUGUGACACCAGCACAGAAGCUCGGGGAGCCCUGGAGACCGUGGGGACGCUAUGAAACCUGAUGGAACCCUGGCUCCACUGUGACACCAGCACAGAAGCUCGGGGAGCCCUGGAGACCGUGGGGAUGCUAGGGAAGCUGACGGAAGCCUGGGCACCACAGUGACGCUGUGGAACCUGGUGGAACCGAGGGGCCACAGUGACACUGUGGGGCCUUUUGGAAGCAAGGAGACCCUGGUGGGAAGCCACGGGAUGAUUAAUGCUGGCAGGAACCUGCUCCAGGUGGGCUCCUCUCUCCCGGCUUGCACAGGUGCUGCUAGGAUGCCACUGCGGCACUGGCUUGUCACGGGCUCACGGCUUCCUUUGGGAAUGGCUCUGCUCCAGGAUGGCAUGCUGCAGAGAAUGCAGGUAGAUUUUGUGCUCCCUCCUGGCAUGCAGGUGGACAAGAAAGCCUGAUGCAGCCCCCCCUCAGCCCAUGUCCGGCUGUGUCAUUGGGGCGGGGGAACUUUGGGAGCAGCCCCAGCCCUGCUCCUGGUCCCGGCUGGGCACGCAGCUGCUGGGACACAGGUGCUUGGACUCAGGGAUACCGAAGGUGUGUGAAAGUGACUGGGCUGCGAGAAUCAUGUUGCACAGGGAAGAGGGAAGGUCAGCAAAUGUCUCCUGUCCUGGCACAUGGCUCAGUCUGAACUGCAGCUGGAGAUGCUUCACUUCCGCCAAGGACUCUGCCACCUGGAGAGAAGGAUGCGCUCUAUGGAGUUGAGAAAGAAAGUGCGUAUCACUAGCUUGUUUCCUCUAGUUCCUAGACAGCAAAGGGGCUAUGAAAGGCAGCACUGGCUUUUUGUUCUAGGACUUUUUCUUGACAAGCAGCUGCUGGAUGUUUGGAAGGGGGUUUGGCAUAUGCAAAAAUGAGAGGGUAAGAUGGUCCACUGAGCUUGAGAGAAGAAGCAUAUCUUCAGGGAUUUGGAUGCAUUUCAGAGGGUGUGAGUUCCAUGCUGAGCAGCUGAUGGCACAGAAAAGGUUCUAAAGAAAGAGGCCGUGCUGGAAUUGCCUUUUCUUUUGCAGCCUAGAAACUGCACAGCCAACAGCAAAAACGAUUCCUCCUCCCUCCCUGCACCAUGCAGGAUCCCAUUCCUUUAUGUCUCCAAGAGGCAGGAUGCACAGCCGAGCUCUUCCACCACAGUGAUCUUCCAUUUGGGAUUGCUGGGGACAGCUUGGACCAGAACAGUAUCCAUGAGGCUGUGGCAUUGGAUGGGAUUCAUCCCAGUAUGUCCCAGCAGGAACCCCCUAAAUCAUCUACCCAAGCUCCUGAAAGCCCAAGGAGGUCCAUGCUGGCUCAAUGCUCUCCAGCUGUAUGCGACUUGACAGCAA